GGCACAGAACAGAAACAACAGCUCCCACUACAAACUUCAAAUUCUUUUCCCAUGCAUUGAGAACUUGAGGCUUGUGAUCUACCAACAAAAGGGAAGAAAAGGUACUAACAGUUAUUCUCAAACUUCAUCUCCUGAAGUAACACUGCAUGUGCAUAUCAUAUGGCAGUAAAAAUGUUAAGACUUAUCUGAAAAUAUAAGUACUUAAGACAGUAUCAGAUGCUUAAAAUUUCCUUUUGAGAAAAUUUAGGCACAUAAAGUGGGUCUUAUGUUGCUGUGUCAGUUUACAGUAAAGUUCUACUAGAGUCAGCUACCAAGAAUCUAUACCAUGCAGACAAUAGGUUAAGGGAAACUCCAUUAUUGCUUCACGUCAUUUACAUGUUAAUCCACUUUGAAUUAAACAAAUUUGACAAUUAAGAAAAGAAAAUCCCAAAUAUAACUGGGAGAUUGAGUAAGCACAUGAGAAGAACGAAUGGCUAUUUUAAUUAUAGAUCUUACCAGAGUCUACUGAGAUAGCUGAUAUCAAGGGACCAUAUGUUCCUCUUCUUGGGAUUGCAGUAGUCCCCUUCCCAGCCCAGUGAAAGCGUAUUGUCAAAGUUUUGUUCCUCACAACAGUUUUAAAUUUCCUUAUGACUGCUUUAUCAACCCCCUUUUCCUCAUUUUUAAUAUUGAAAUCUUUUAACUCAAGUUUCUCCUGAAGCAAGCUUAUUCAAUCAAAACUGGCUUCAAUAACAUGCAAAUUAAGCUACAUAUUAACAUGAUGAACUACCUGGACAUAAACAUCAAAUAUCCUCCUUCCAAGACUUUGAUAGGAUCUAUUGUCUCUGAUAACUAUCUCUGCAAAGUGAAGUGUAACCGUAUAAUUUCCAUUUGCUAAGCAACGGAAGUAAUAUGUCAGAGAAAGAGGAGAGAGGCGUGCUCUUGUGUAUAAUUCGGAGUUCUUUAUUCUGAGAAUGGAAACGUUUUGUGCUAUAAAGUC
rnacentral:lncRNA from 1 species